ensembl:lncRNA
CCUUGUUUUGCUUCCGGGUGCCCAUCAGUUUGUAUGGUGGUGUGGGAUUGCAAAUUGCACUACUUGGACUAAUGCUGUUACCGAAGCACGAGUGGUUCAAAGCCAGUGUAGCGGUUGCUCUGACGCCGGGUGCUCGGUGGGAAUCAGCUGGAGCUCCGUCCAUGACUCGCUGUCCCUGAGUGUGCAGUCAUUGCAGCUCGGCACGUUGAGCUGAGGGUCAUCCACUGCCUCCACCCGGGAAGGGCUGCUGUUCUGUUUUACUGUCAAAUACAUGUUUAUAAUUGACCGGCAUGCUCAUGCUUGGUGUGUAUCUCUCUGUGAUUUCCUGCAUGCAUGGGGCUAGGCUGGGUAUGCUACCUUCCAUCUCCGCUUGCUCUGCCUGAUAUUGUUUUGUUGGUUUCUUUUGAUUUGAUGCAUGGGGCUGUGCAGUGGGCUGCUGCUUUUCCCUCUCUGCUUGGCCUGCAUGUUUUGUUGUUUUGUGCUGCUGCUAUGUUAACUAUGGUGGUGGUAAUUCUGAAUGAUUGUUAACUAGCCUAACCGUGUCUUUGCUGAACUGCGUGCGUGUGCCUCUGUGUGUGGGUGUGUGCAUGUAGCUAAGGUAACCCAGGGUACUGUGACAAAGCCCGCUACUCCCAGCUGACCGUCGGAGGUCCACCCCGUCCUAAGUCCCUCCGCCAAAGCUAAGUAGCCUCAGUAGGAUAGCCACACUAUUAAAUCCUCUCCCUGCCUCUUUACUGUCAAGUGUUUUGCUAACCCCAGUGCCUCUAUCUCUCUCCCUGGACAGGUGCAGUGAGUUUCACUUGAGCGACAGGCUGACCCCCAGGUGGUGGAGCCCACCCCCUCACUUUUCCUUGCUGUGUGCAUAACGGUUGCCCUAUUUUGGAGUGCAGUGCUUACUGGUUUUAUGCACGUGUGGUGUGUGUCUUCUGGGCCUCUCCUGUCCCCCUCUUGGAAAGUCCUGCUCGCUGCGGUAAGCCACUGCCCUGCUCCACCUUUGAGUCCUGACCACUGGCCCAUCUCCGUAAGGCUUUGGCCAUCUCACCUGCUCAUAUUCGGGUCAUAGCCCACUGGCUAACAUUGUACGUGUCUACUGUGUGUGUUUAGUGUAUGUGUGUACGCUGGAA